ACAUACGACAUGGUUUGUUUGGAACAGAGGGGCCCUUCAAGUCCAUUCAAAGAGAGAGUAGCAGGAACAUCUGGAUUGAUCUUUGGUUUAGCGGCCUUCCAUUUAACAAAGGGUCAACCUUGUUCAUUUUAGUCAGAUCUUGAGCUGCUUUCACGCGUUACCUGAUAUCCUUUGUGAUGAUAGGCUACAUUUGGACUCCGACACCACUGAGAGAUAUGAUAGCAAGUAGUGCUUGUCUCUUAUGUUGUGAUCCAGAAUCAAAAUUUUCCUGCCAAAAUUGUAUUGGAGAUCGCUCACCUCGGUUGUCAUAUUUGUCACCUCGCCGCCGACUCUUCUUCACUUAUUUUCUUGGAAUAUUUUUUAUGGCAUGAUAUUACCACUAAACCAAUGCUUAUUGUAUGUAAUA